UGAGGAAUAUUGGACAAUGGGCGCAAGCCUGAUCCAGCCAUGCCGCGUGCAGGAUGACGGUCCUAUGGAUUGUAAACUGCUUUUGCACAGGAAGAAACAACAUUACGUGUAAUGUCUUGACGGUACUGUGAGAAUAAGGAUCGGCUAACUCCGUGCCAGCAGCCGCGGUAAUACGGAGGAUCCAAGCGUUAUCCGGAAUCAUUGGGUUUAAAGGGUCCGUAGGCGGUUUAGUAAGUCAGUGGUGAAAGCCCAUCGCUCAACGGUGGAACGGCCAUUGAUACUGCUAGACUUGAAUUAUUAGGAAGUAACUAGAAUAUGUAGUGUAGCGGUGAAAUGCUUAGAGAUUACAUGGAAUACCAAUUGCGAAGGCAGGUUACUACUAAUGGAUUGACGCUGAUGGACGAAAGCGUGGGUAGCGAACAGGAUUAGAUACCCUGGUAGUCCACGCCGUAAACGAUGGAUACUAGCUGUUGGGAGCAAUCUCAGUGGCUAAGCGAAAGUGAUAAGUAUCCCACCUGGGGAGUACGUUCGCAAGAAUGAAACUUAAAUGAAUUGACGGGGUCAUAGCUGUUUCC
rnacentral:rRNA from 1 species